CAGCCGCCGCGGUAAUACGGAGGGUGCGAGCGUUAAUCGGAAUAACUGGGCGUAAAGGGCACGCAGGCGGUGACUUAAGUGAGGUGUGAAAGCCCCGGGCUUAACCUGGGAAUUGCAUUUCAUACUGGGUCGCUAGAGUACUUUAGGGAGGGGUAGAAUUCCACGUGUAGCGGUGAAAUGCGUAGAGAUGUGGAGGAAUACCGAAGGCGAAGGCAGCCCCUUGGGAAUGUACUGACGCUCAUGUGCGAAAGCGUGGGGAGCAAACAGGAUUAGAUACCCCCGUAGUCCCUGUCUCUUAUAC
rnacentral:rRNA from 1 species